rnacentral:rRNA from 1 species
GAUGAACGCUGGCGGCGUGCUUAACACAUGCCAGUCGAACGAUGAAGCCCAGCUUGCUGGGUUGAUUAGUUGCGAACGGGUGAGUAACACGUGAGUAACCUGCCCUUAACUCUGGGAUAAGCCUGGGAAACUGGGUCUAAUACCGGAUAGGAGCGUCCACCGCAUGGUGGGUGUUGGAAAGAUUUAUCGGUUUUGGGUGGACUCUCGGCCUAUCAGCUUUUUUGUGAGGUAAUGGCUCACCAAGGCGACGACGGGUAGCCGGCCUGAGAGGGUGACCGGCCACACUGGGACUGAGACACGGCCCAGACUCCUACGGGAGGCAGCAGUGGGGAAUAUUGCACAAUGGGCGCAAGCCUGAUGCAGCGACGCCGCGUGAGGGAUGACGGCCUUCGGGUUGUAAACCUCUUUCAGUAGGGAAGAAGCGAAAGUGACGGUACCUGCAGAAGAAGCACCGGCUAACUACGUG